rnacentral:rRNA from 1 species
UACGGGGGGGGCAAGCGUUGUUCGGAAUCACUGGGCGUAAAGCGCACGUAGGCGGACUCUUAAGUCGGUGGUGAAAUCCUGGAGCUCAACUCCAGAACUGCCUUCGAUACUGAGAGUCUCGAGUCCGAGAGAGGUGAGUGGAACUGCGAGUGUAGAGGUGAAAUUCGUAGAUAUUCGCAAGAACACCAGUGGCGAAGGCGGCUCACUGGCUCGGUACUGACGCUGAGGUGCGAAAGCGUGGGGAGCAAACAGGG